GGUAGAGCACUGUUUCGGCAAGGGGGUCAUCCCGACUUACCAACCCGAUGCAAACUGCGAAUACCGGAGAAUGUUAUCACGGGAGACACACGGCGGGUGCUAACGUCCGUCGUGAAGAGGGAAACAACCCAGACCGCCAGCUAAGGUCCCAAAGUCAUGGUUAAGUGGGAAACGAUGUGGGAAGGCCAAGACAGCCAGGAUGUUGGCUUAGAAGCAGCCAUCAUUUAAAGAAAGCGUAAUAGCUCACUGGUCGAGUCGGCCUGCGCGGAAGAUGUAACGGGGCUAAACCAUGCACCGAAGCUGCGGCAGCGACGCUUAUGCGUUGUUGGGUAGGGGAGCGUUCUGUAAGCCUGCGAAGGUGUGCUGUGAGGCAUGCUGGAGGUAUCAGAAGUGCGAAUGCUGACAUAAGUAACGAUAAAGCGGGUGAAAAGCCCGCUCGCCGGAAGACCAAGGGUUCCUGUCCAACGUUAAUCGGGGCAGGGUGAGUCGACCCCUAAGGCGAGGCCGAAAGGCGUAGUCGAUGGGAAACAGGUUAAUAUUCCUGUACUUGGUGUUACUGCGAAGGGGGGACGGAGAAGGCUAUGUUGGCCGGGCGACGGUUGUCCCGGUUUAAGCGUGUAGGCUGGUUUUCCAGGCAAAUCCGGAAAAUCAAGGCUGAGGCGUGAUGACGAGGCACUACGGUGCUGAAGCAACAAAUGCCCUGCUUCCAGGAAAAGCCUCUAAGCAUCAGGUAACAUCAAAUCGUACCCCAAACCGACACAGGUGGUCAGGUAGAGAAUACCAAGGCGCUUGAGAGAACUCGGGUGAAGGAACUAGGCAAAAUGGUGCCGUAACUUCGGGAGAAGGCACGCUGAUAUGUAGGUGAAGUCCCUCGCGGAUGGAGCUGAAAUCAGUCGAAGAUACCAGCUGGCUGCAACUGUUUAUUAAAAACACAGCACUGUGCAAACACGAAAGUGGACGUAUACGGUGUGACGCCUGCCCGGUGCCGGAAGGUUAAUUGAUGGGGUCAGCGCAAGCGAAGCUCUUGAUCGAAGCCCCGGUAAACGGCGGCCGUAACUAUAACGGUCCUAAGGUAGCGAAAUUCCUUGUCGGGUAAGUUCCGACCUGCACGAAUGGCGUAAUGAUGGCCAGGCUGUCUCCACCCGAGACUCAGUGAAAUUGAACUCGCUGUGAAGAUGCAGUGUACCCGCGGCAAGACGGAAAGACCCCGUGAACCUUUACUAUAGCUUGACACUGAACAUUGAGCCUUGAUGUGUAGGAUAGGUGGGAGGCUUUGAAGUGUGGACGCCAGUCUGCAUGGAGCCGACCUUGAAAUACCACCCUUUAAUGUUUGAUGUUCUAACGUUGACCCGUGAUCCGGGUUGCGGACAGUGUCUGGUGGGUAGUUUGACUGGGGCGGUCUCCUCCUAAAGAGUAACGGAGGAGCACGAAGGUUGGCUAAUCCUGGUCGGACAUCAGGAGGUUAGUGCAAUGGCAUAAGCCAGCUUGACUGCGAGCGUGACGGCGCGAGCAGGUGCGAAAGCAGGUCAUAGUGAUCCGGUGGUUCUGAAUGGAAGGGCCAUCGCUCAACGGAUAAAAGGUACUCCGGGGAUAACAGGCUGAUACCGCCCAAGAGUUCAUAUCGACGGCGGUGUUUGGCACCUCGAUGUCGGCUCAUCACAUCCUGGGGCUGAAGUAGGUCCCAAGGGUAUGGCUGUUCGCCAUUUAAAGUGGUACGCGAGCUGGGUUUAGAACGUCGUGAGACAGUUCGGUCCCUAUCUG
rnacentral:rRNA from 1 species